AGGAAAAGAAAUCAACCGAGAUUCCCCCAGUAGCGGCGAGCGAACGGGGAGGAGCCCAGAACCCGCAUCGGCUUGUGUGUCAGUGGAAGCGCCUGGAAAGGCGCGCAGUAAAGGGUGACAGCCCCGUACACGAAGACAUAUAAGCCGGGAGUUCGAUGAGUAGGGCGGGACACGUGGUAUCCUGUCUGAACAUGGGGGGACCAUCCUCCAAGGCUAAAUACUCCUGACUGACCGAUAGUGAACCAGUACCGUGAGGGAAAGGCGAAAAGAACCCCGGCGAGGGGAGUGAAAGAGAACCUGAAACCGUGUACGUACAAGCAGUGGGAGCACCCUGUGGGGUGUGACUGCGUACCUUUUGUAUAAUGGGUCAGCGACUUAUAUUCUGUAGCAAGGUUAACCGUCUAGGGGAGCCGCAGGGAAACCGAGUCUUAACGGGGCGUUAAGUUGCAGGGUAUAGACCCGAAACCCGGUGAUCUAGCCAUGGGCAGGUUGAAGGUUGGGUAACACUAACUGGAGGACCGAACCGACUAAUGUUGAAAAAUUAGCGGAUGACUUGUGGCUGGGGGUGAAAGGCCAAUCAAACCGGGAGAUAGCUGGUUCUCCCCGAAAGCUAUUUAGGUAGCGCCUCGUGAAGUCAUCUUCGGGGGUAGAGCACUGUUUCGGCUAGGGGGUCAUCCCGACUUACCAACCGAUGCAAACUGCGAAUACCGAAGAAUGUUAUCACGGGAGACACACGGCGGGUGCUAACGUCCGUCGUGAAGAGGGAAACAACCCAGACCGCCAGCUAAGGUCCCGAAGUCAUGGUUAAGUGGGAAACGAAGUGGGAAGGCUCAGACAGCCAGGAUGUUGGCUUAGAAGCAGCCAUCAUUUAAAGAAAGCGUAAUAGCUCACUGGUCGAGUCGGCCUGCGCGGAAGAUGUAACGGGGCUAAACCAUGC
rnacentral:rRNA from 1 species